rnacentral:lncRNA from 1 species
UUCCAGGAACCAGCACGAGGUUGCCUUCUAAUUCACGUGUCUCAUCAUUUCACUGAAGAUGUAUGGAACGCUUCCCCCUUUAAAAGUGUUAAGUACUUUGCUGUCAGCAUCACCAUCACAGCCUGCGAAGUCGACACUAAAGAGAGAGAAGUGGAAAAGGCAAACUUUGCUGUCUCCUCAGGGAGCUGAGCAGGAAAAGAGUAUUUCCUCUUCGCCAGGAGCACCCACUUCUGAGACCUACUUUGUUCCAGCUUCAUGGGGAUUUGUCCAUCCCUUUUGCAGAGAUUGAUGGACCCUGCAUGGGGGAGAUCGGGUACAUUCCCUUCCUUCAGGGUACCUCUUUUAAGUCUCUGAUGUAAAC